UACGUAGGGUGCAAGCGUUGUCCGGAAUUAUUGGGCGUAAAGAGCUUGUAGGCGGUUUGUCGCGUCUGCUGUGAAAUUUCGGGGCUCAACCCCGAACUUGCAGUGGGUACGGGCAGGCUAGAGUGUGGUAGGGGAGACUGGAAUUCCUGGUGUAGCGGUGAAAUGCGCAGAUAUCUGGAGGAACACCGGUGGCGAAGGCGACAUCCUGGACCGAUAUUGACGCUGAGGCGCGAAAGCCAGGGGAGCAAACGGG
rnacentral:rRNA from 1 species